GCGCGCGUACGGGUCGCCGGAACACGUGUGCACUGCCUUUCAUCUGGGGGAUAGCCUUUCGAAAGGAAGAUUAAUACCCCAUAAUAUGUUGAAUGGCAUCAUUCGACAUUGAAAACUCCGGUGGAUAGAGAUGGGCACGCGCAAGAUUAGAUAGUUGGUGAGGUAACGGUCACCAACGUCUACGACUCUUUAGGGGGCCUGAGAGGGUGAUCCCCCACACUGGUACUGAGACACCGGACCAGACCUCCUACGGGAGGCAGCAGUGAGGAAUAUUGGACAAUGGGUGAGAGCCUGAUCCAGCCAUCCCGCGUGAAGGACGACUGCCUAUGGGUUGUAAACUUCUUCCGUAUAGGGAUAAACCUACCCUCGUGGCAGGGGGCUAACGCCUUGCAAGGGGUACCUCAUACCGAAAAUUAAAGCCACCCCGGGCUUAAACCUCCCCGGUGGCCCAAGCCCACGCCCGGCGGCGUCAAACUCACCGCGCAACCGGGCUGCCAACGGCCGGUCCANUCCCCCGGCGCAAACCCACCUNGCGCGCNCCUCACACAACAGCGCGCUCCCCGCCACGCCNCCGCGNACUACCUGCCCAAACNGCCUCCA
rnacentral:rRNA from 1 species